rnacentral:rRNA from 1 species
ACUCUAGAGAUAGAGCUUUCCCCUUCGGGGGACAAAGUGACAGGUGGUGCAUGGUUGUCGUCAGCUCGUGUCGUGAGAUGUUGGGUUAAGUCCCGCAACGAGCGCAACCCUUAAGCUUAGUUGCCAUCAUUAAGUUGGGCACUCUAGGUUGACUGCCGGUGACAAACCGGAGGAAGGUGGGGAUGACGUCAAAUCAUCAUGCCCCUUAUGAUUUAGGCUACACACGUGCUACAAUGGACAAUACAAAGGGCAGCUAAACCGCGAGGUCAUGCAAAUCCCAUAAAGUUGCUCUCAGUUCGGAUUGUAGUCUGCAACUCGACUACAUGAAGCUGGAAUCGCUAGUAAUCGUAGAUCAGCAUGCUACGGUGAAUACGUUCCCGGGUCUUGUACACACCGCCCGUCACACCACGAGAGUUUGUAACACCCGAAGCCGGUGGAGUAACCAUUUAUGGAGCUAGCCGUCGAAGGUGGGACAAAUGAUUGGGGUGAAGUCGUAACAAGGUAGCCGUAUCGGAAGGUG